AUGUUUGGCUACGGAGAACAGUAUGGUGGGCCUCAUGUGGAUGGGGCAUGCUGUGACAAUCUCCAAUGUUGGAUGAUUCUAACUCCUAACAGAUCACUUGGGCCCAUGUUUUUCUCUUUUAGUGUGAGCUGUUCAUUGUAACCAUCCAUUUUGUGAGCCACCAAUCAGAUGGAAAGGGUUGUCUGAUGGAGGGAAUUUUGGCCGUGGCUUGUCUAUGAUGGGUUCUACUAGAUGAAUGGUUUACAUUACCAGAUGGUGGGCCCAGAAAAAUAAAAAGCACCAGCUAGCUUGCCUUAACAUCGUAAUAUAAAUAUUUAAAAAAAAAAACUUAUUCAGCGUGUUGCAGAGGUUUGUCAUUUUUGCCACUUUUCUCUUAAUCUUUCAUUGGACCAUGAUGAUGCUUAUCCAAAAAUUGCUGGCAGGAGCAGUUUUCUGGCUUGCCUCAUAUCUGACUCAAGUAACCUGCCAUAGGUAAUCAUAUUUAAAGAAACGAAACAUGUGAGGAGAUGCAGCUGGCCUGAUUGACAUGGCACUUGGAUAGACCCAGCUAUGAGAUGCUGCUCAGGGGCUGCUGUGUUUCACAGCAUAGCUAAGGCUGCUUAGAAUGGUUGAUGGCUUGAACUUUAAAGACUUUGUGGCCUUCCUAUCAGCCUUCAGUUCUCAUGCAAGCCUUCAACAGAAAAUUGAACUCAAACAGAAAAUGAGAAGAACUUGACAAGAAUUUGCCUUCUGAAGGAUGCUCAAAUCCUGAAUCUACAAUGGCUCGAAGAAGCUCAGCUUUAGAAGGAAAUCCCUGAAUCCUGAACUGUGAAUUCCAACAUAGCCCCUGCAUAACAGAGGAAACAAAGAAUAAAGACACGGAGAAUGCUAUCAAAAGCAAUCUCAAGACAGAAAGCUCAAUCAAUUGCAAGUAAGCAUCUAACUCCACAUAAAACUUGAAAUUUCAAUGAAGGAAAAAAAAUAAAAAUCAGAUGACUCAAUAUCUGAAAACAGGGCAGCAUAAAACCUACACCAAACUGAGGCCAGCAUUCCUAAACCUGAUGACUCAACUCAAAAUCUCAUCGGGUUAACUGAGUCAGCUCACUGACUUGAUGAACCCAAAGACAUACACCAAAGGAAUAACAGCCACCGACAGUUUGUAAAAUAUACAAAAUAUACAAAGGAAGAGAAUAAAAAACAAGAAAAAAUAUAAAAAAUAUACAAUCCAAAAUGCAGAAGCCCAAAACGAGCAUGAGAAAAUAUACAAAGGAAGAGAAUAGAAAACAAGAAAAAAGUGCAGAUUGAUCAAAACAACAAACAGUUUGUAAAAUACACAAUCCAUAAGCACCUA